AGCCUGAACGCUGGCGGCGUGGCUAAGACAUGCAAGUCGUACGGAUGUAGCAAUACAUCAGUGGCGAACGGGUGAGUAAUGAAUCGCUAAUGUGCCCCGGACUCUGGGAUAGCCGGUCGAAAGGCCGGGUAAUACCAGAUGAUAUACCUUCAUCGCAUGAUGAAGGUCUCAAAGGUCCGCCGGUCUGGGAGCAGGCGAUUUCGUAUCAGCUAGUUGGUGAGGUAACGGCUCACCAAGGCGACGACGCGUAGCCGGACUGAGAGGUUGGCCGGCCACAUUGGGGACUGAGACACUGCCCAGACUCCUACGGGGGGCUGCAGUAACGAAUCUUCCGCAAUGCACGAAAGUGUGACGGAGCGACGCCGCGUGGAGGACGAAGUUCUUCGGAAUGUAAACUCCUGUCAGAGGAAAGAAAGUUCUGAUCUACCUCAGAGGAAGAGGCGGCUAACUCUGUGCCAGCAGCCGC
rnacentral:rRNA from 1 species